rnacentral:rRNA from 1 species
UACGUAGGGUGCGAGCGUUGUCCGGAAUUACUGGGCGUAAAGAGCUCGUAGGUGGUUUGUCGCGUUGUUCGUGAAAACUCACAGCUUAACUGUGGGCGUGCGGGCGAUACGGGCAGACUGGAGUACUGCAGGGGAGACUGGAAUUCCUGGUGUAGCGGUGGAAUGCGCAGAUAUCAGGAGGAACACCAAUAGCGAAGGCAGCUCGCUGGGACGUUACUGACACUGAGGCGCGAAAGCGUGGGGAGUGAACAGG